GACAGAGGGUGCAAACGUUGUUCGGAAUUACUGGGCGUAAAGCGCGUGUAGGCGGCUAUGCAAGUCGGGCGUGAAAUCCCACGGCUCAACCGUGGAAGUGCACUCGAAACUGCGUAGCUAGAGUCCUGGAGAGGAAGGUGGAAUGCUUGGUGUAGAGGUGAAAUUCGUAGAUAUCAAGCGGAACACCGGUGGCGAAGGCGGCCUUCUGGGCAGUGACUGACGCUGAGACGCGAAAGCGUGGGGAGCAAACAGG
rnacentral:rRNA from 1 species